rnacentral:lncRNA from 1 species
CUCAGUCGCGACAGACGAGAAGGAGUCGUCGGAGAGAAGGGGACCCGGGAGGGGGGUGUCUCAGAGUGGAGAGAGUUUUGGAAAAGAACUUUUAUCGCCCGAUGGCACCCGCAUGGCACCAUGGGAAAGAUUUCCUCCUUGAUGUUUAUUUUACCCUGAUACCGCCUGAGUGCCAAAGUCCACAACGUGAUUUUCAUCAGCCAAAUGCAGAAGAUUUGGAAGGCCGGCUAUUUUGUAUAUGGAGCUGAAAUGACUAUACAUAAAAUUUUUCACUCAAUACUAUAUGUCUG